AAAUAUGCAAAAGAUAUUUCGAGGGAUGCCAAUAGAAGCCUCAAGAUAUAUUGCAAGGAAUCUUAUACGCGUUCGGGCCAUAGCCCAGCACCAGCAGCAAGUUAGGAAGACCACGUGACAAACUAACAACCCUCUUUGUUGGUAAAGACCACUCGUGUGAUAGUCAAUCAAGCGUGCGAAUAAUGGAAGGUUCUUUGCUCUUUUUUUUUCUUUUUCUUUUUUACCAUGUUCUUGUUCUAUUUUAUGAAAAAUGCGAUAAUAU
rnacentral:lncRNA from 1 species